AAUAGAUACCCUGGUAGUCCUAGCCGUAAACGAUACUCGCUAGGUGUCGGCCACGGUGCGACCGUUGUCGGUGCCGUAGGGAAGCCGUGAAGCGAGCCACCUGGGAAGUACGGCCGCAAGGCUGAAACUUAAAGGAAUUGGCGGGGGAGCACCACAACGGGUGGAGCUUGCGGUUUAAUUGGAUUCAACGCCGGAAAUCUUACCGGGACCGACAGCAACAUGAAGGCCAGGCUGAAGACUUUGCCGGAUUAGCUGAGAGGUGGUGCAUGGCCGUCGUCAGUUCGUACUGUGAAGCAUCCUGUUAAGUCAGGCAACGAGCGAGACCCACGCCCACAGUUGCCAGCGUACUCUCCGGAGUGACGAGUACACUGUGGGGACCGCCGCUGCUAAAGCGGAGGAAGGAAUGGGCAACGGUAGGUCAGUAUGCCCCGAAUAUCCCGGGCUACACGCGAGCUACAAUGGUUGGUACAAUGGGUAUCUACCCCGAAAGGGGAUGGAAAUCUCCUAAAGCCAAUCUUAGUUCGGAUUGAGGGCUGCAACUCG
rnacentral:rRNA from 1 species